UACGAGGGGUCCAAGCGUUGUUCGGAAUCACUGGGCGUAAAGCGGGUGUAGGUGGCUUUGUAAGUCACAUGUGAAAGCCCCGGGCUCAACCCGGGAAGUGCAUGUGAUACUGCAAAGCUUGAGUACGGGAGAGGAUGGCAGAAUUCCUGGUGUAGUGGUGAAAUACGUAGAUAUCAGGAGGAACUCCGGUGGCGAAGGCGGCCAUCUGGCCCAGUACUGACACUCAGACCCGAAAGCGUGGGUAGCAAACAGG
rnacentral:rRNA from 1 species